rnacentral:rRNA from 1 species
AGUGAACGCUGGCGGUAGGCCUAACACAUGCAAGUCGAACGGCAGCACAGGAGAGCUUGCUCUCUAGGUGGCGAGUGGCGGACGGGUGAGGAAUACAUCGGAAUCUGCCCAGUCGUGGGGGAUAACGUAGGGAAACUUACGCUAAUACCGCAUACGACCUUCGGGUGAAAGAGGGGGAUCGCAAGACCUCUCGCGAUUGGAUGAGCCGAUGUCGGAUUAGCUAGUUAGCGGGGUAAUGGCCCACCAAGGCGACGAUCCGUAGCUGGUCUGAGAGGAUGAUCAGCCACACUGGAACUGAGACACGGUCCAGACUCCUACGGGGGGCAGCAGUGGGGAAUAUUGGGCAAUGGGCGCAAGCCUGAUCCAGCCAUACCGCGUGGGUGAAGAAGGCCUUCGGGUUGUAAAGCCCUUUUGUUGGGAAAGAAAUCUUUCAGGCUAAUACCCUGGGAGGAUGACGGUACCCAAAGAAUAAGCACCGGCUAACUUCGUG